rnacentral:rRNA from 1 species
AAGCUCGUAGUUGAAUUUCGGGGUUAGUAGGUUGGUCAUGCCUCUGGUAUGUACUGAUCUCACUGAUUCCUCCCUCUUGACGAACUGUAAUGUCAUUAAUUUGGUGUUGCAGGAAAUCAGGACUGUUACUUUGAAAAAAUUAGAGUGUUUAAAGCAGGCUUAGGCUUGAAUACAUUAGCAUGGAAUAAUGAAAUAGGACGUUUGAUCCUAUUUUGUUGGUUUCUAGGAUCGACGUAAUGAUUAAUAGGGAUAGUUGGG